rnacentral:rRNA from 1 species
UACAGAGGGUGCAAACGUUGCUCGGAAUUAUUGGGCGUAAAGCGCGUGUAGGCGGUUCAUCAAGUCGGUUGUGAAAUCCCUGGGCUCAACCCAGGAAUUGCUUCGAAUACUGGCGUGCUUGAGGCUAGUAGGGGUCACUGGAACUGACGGUGGAGCGGUGAAAUGCGUAGAGAUGUGGAGGAAUACCGAUGGCGAAGGCAGCCCCCUGGGCCAAUACUGACGCUCAUGCACGAAAGCGUGGGGAGCAAACAGG